rnacentral:rRNA from 1 species
UCCGUCUGUGUGACCGCGGAAGGACAUUACAGACCAGAAAACCCACCUCACGACGCUGCCUCGGCGCGCGGCGAGCGCCGGCGCCUUCCCCUCCUGCCCCCCCGCAGGCUGGCGGAAGGUCGCCCGGCCCGCCGCCGCCAGGCAGCCAAAAACGAGAACCCAUUGCCUGCCGCGCGUUACAAGCUCUGAUUUCAGUGGGAAGCGAGAAAAUGAAGAACAAAACUUUCAACAACGGAUCUCUUGGCUCCAGCAUCGAUGAAGAACGCAGCGAAACGCGAUAGCUAGUGUGAAUUGCAGAAUUCAGUGAAUCAUCGAGUCUUUGAACGCACAUUGCGCCUGGCGGACAUUCCGCCAGGCAUGCCCGUCCGAGCGUCAUUUUCACCAACCGCGGCCCCAGCGCCCGACGUUGGGCCAUCGCGACCUCCCGCGCGCCCCCCCACUGGGGGCGGGCUCGUGGGACGCGAGGCCUGGAACCCAGCGGCGGCGGCGCCCAGGGUCGCGUGCGCAGUAGAGAGGCUCCUGCCAAGCUCGCACGGCGCCACCCUGGAGGCCUGCCACAGCCCACAGAGCGCGCGAGGGAGGGGGAGG